GGGAGUGUAGCUCAGUGGUAGAGCACUUGCCUAGUGUACUCAGGGCUUGGGUUCAAUCCCCAGCACUACAA
rnacentral:tRNA from 1 species